rnacentral:rRNA from 1 species
AGAAUCAACGCUGGCGGCGUGCCUAACACAUGCAAGUCGAACGAGAAAGUGGAGCAAUCCAUGAGUAAAGUGGCGCACGGGUGAGUAACACGUGACUAACCUACCCUUGAGUGGGGAAUAACCUCGGGAAACCGGGGCUAAUACCGCAUAACACCUACGGGUCAAAGGAGCAAUUCGCUUAAGGAGGGGUCGCGGCAGAUUAGUUAGUUGGCGGGGUAAUGGCCCACCAAGACGGUGAUCUGUAU